GCAGUCGCGCGAGAACCUCCUUCGGGAGGCGGANAGCGGCGAAAGGGAGAGUAACGCGUAGAUACCUACCCUGGGGACCGGGAUAGCGGCGGGAAACUGCCGGUAAUACCGGAUAACGUCUCCGGACCAAAUGGUGUGAUUCCGCCCUUGGAUGGGUCUGCGUCCUAUUAGCUAGUUGGAGGGGUAAGAGCCCACCAAGGCGAAGAUGGGUACCGGGUGUGAGAGCAUGGCCCGGCUCACUGGGACUGAGACACUGCCCAGACACCUACGGGUGGCUGCAGUCGAGAAUCUUCCGCAAUGGACGCAAGUCUGACGGAGCGACGCCGCGUGCGGGAUGAAGGCCUUCGGGUUGUAAACCGCUGUCAGUGGGGAGCAAAUCCAUAAGGGUUCUCUCUUAUGGUUGAGCUAUCCGCAGAGGAAGCGCAGGCUAAGUUCGUGCCAGCAGCCGCGGUAACACGAACUGCGCGAACGUUAUUCGGAAUCACUGGGCUUAAAGAGUUCGUAGGCGGCCUGAUCAGUCGGGUGUGAAAUCCCUCGGCUUAACCGAGGAACUGCGCCCGAUACUGUCAGGCUAGAGGGAGACAGGGGUGAGCGGAACUGAUGGUGGAGCGGUGAAAUGCGUUGAUAUCAUCAGGAACACCGGUGGCGAAGGCGGCUCACUGGGUCUCUUCUAACGCUGAGGAACGAAAGCUAGGGGAGCGAACGGGAUUAGAUACCCUGGUA
rnacentral:rRNA from 1 species